CCUACGGGUGGCAGCAGUGAGGAAUAUUGGUCAAUGGGCGCGAGCCUGAACCCGCCAAGUAGCGUGAAGGAUGACUGCCCUACGGGUUGUCACCUUCUUUUAUAAAGGACUAAAGUGAUGCCCUUGUGCCUUUUUGUAUGUACUUUAUGAUUAAGGUUCGGCUAACUCCGUGCCAGCAGCCGCGGUAUUACGGAGGAUCCGAGCGUUUUCCGGAUUUAUUGGGUUUAAAGGGAGCGUAGAUGGGUGGUUAAGGCAGUUUUGAAAGUUUGCGGCUCAACCGUAAAAUUGCAAUUGAUACUGGCAGUCUUGAGUACAGUUGAGGUAGGCGGAAUUCGUGGUGUAGCGGUGAAAUGCUGAGAUAUCACGAAGAACUCCGAUUGCGAAGGCAGCUUACUAAACUGCCACUGACAUUGAUGCUCGAAAGUGUGGGUAUCAAACAGGAUUAGAUACCCUUGUAGUC
rnacentral:rRNA from 1 species